rfam:Gossypium hirsutum cultivar TM-1 chromosome 20, whole genome shotgun sequence
GAUAGCUCAGUUGGGAGAGCAUUAGACUGAAGAUCUAAAGUCACGUGUUUGAUCCAUGCUC